UUCAAUCAGAAGAAGAAAUUAGAAAGAACUAUACUGAAGAAAAGAGAAAUAGCCAUAAUCAUCCUCAUGGCAAUCUUCAAGAGGAACAUGAGCGUUGUGGGCUUGGUUGCCCUCAUAGUCAUGGUUACCGUCCUCUCCUCAACUUGCCACGCAGACAGAGGAAUUCUUGCUGAAGAGAAAUGCUUCGCGCCUACUCCAACUCCCACUUGCGACUUGGAACUUUGCAAGAAGUUGUGUGGGAAGGAUUCCACUCCACAUUGCUACCUUCUAGCGGCAGAACCUUUGGGGAUAUCCUCGUGCUGCUGCGGGCCGCUCCGUACAAGGCACCUUGCGCCUGAACCCUCUCGCCUUCUAUAAUUCCCUGAAACAAAGAAGACAUAAAUGUGGCAUGCAUCAUUGAGUUUUGAUGCAUGCCUAUAUAUAUUAUGUGUCUUAGUACCGUUGAUUUUACGACGUGAGCUAUCUCGUACCUUUCUUUUGCUAUAAUAAAACACUAGUCUCUCUCUAUUUGUGUGUGGAAAUUUCAGUGUCUCCUUCUUCCUCCCAACAAAGGUUAAAGAACGGCAUUUCUGAGAUGAGAUUAACAUCA